rnacentral:rRNA from 1 species
CCAAACUGUAAGCUCAGUAUCUGACUAGAGUGGAUCAGUGGCGAACGGGUGAGUAACACGUGAGCAACCUGCCCCAAACUCUGGAAUAAGCGCUGGAAACGGCGUCUAAUACUGGAUACGAGACCAACCUGCAUGGGUAUGGUUUGGAAAGUUUUUCGGUUUGGGAUGGGCUCGCGGCCUAUCAGCUUGUUGGUGAGGUAAUGGCUCACCAAGGCGACGACGGGUAGCCGGCCUGAGAGGGCGACCGGCCACACUGGGACUGAGACACGGCCCAGACUCCUACGGGAGGCAGCAGUGGGGAAUAUUGCACAAUGGGCGAAAGCCUGAUGCAGCGACGCCGCGUGAGGGAUGACGGCCUUCGGGUUGUAAACCUCUUUCAGCAGGGAAGAAGCGAAAGUGACGGUACCUGCAGAAGAAGCACCGGCUAACUACGUGCCAGCAGCCGCGGUAAUACGUAGGGUGCGAGCGUUGUCCGGAAUUAUUGGGCGUAAAGAGCUUGUAGGCGGUUUGUCGCGUCUGCUGUGAAAAUCCGGGGCUCAACCCCGUACUUGCAGUGGGUACGGGCAGACUAGAGUGUGGUAGGGGAGACUGGAAUUCCUGGUGUAGCGGUGAAAUGCGCAGAUAUCAGGAGGAAC